UACGUAGGGGGCGAGCGUUGUCCGGAUUUAUUGGGCGUAAAGAGCUCGUAGGCGGUUUGGCAAGUCGGGUGUGAAAACUCCGGGCUCAACCCGGAGACGCCACUCGAUACUGCCAUGACUCGAGUCCGGUAGGGGAGUGGCGGAAUUCCUGGUGUAGCGGUGAAAUGCGCAGAUAUCAGGAGGAACACCGGUGGCGAAGGCGGCACUCUGGGCCGGUACUGACGCUGAGGAGCGAAAGCGUGGGGAGCGAACAGG
rnacentral:rRNA from 1 species